rnacentral:rRNA from 1 species
UUAAUUCAUUAGCAUAAUCACUAAAAUUAUACCCUAAUGGGUACAAAAAUAAAGAUAUAAGCUAAGAAUUUCGGUUGGGGUGACCUCGGAGAACAAAAAAUCCUCCGAAUGAUUAUAGCACAGACCAACAAGUCAAAACAACCUAUUAAAUCUCAUUGACCCAAAAUAUUUUGAUCAACGGACCAAGUUACCCUAGGGAUAACAGCGCAAUCCUAUUCAAGAGUUCAUAUCGACAAUAAGGGUUUACGACCUCGAUGUUGGAUCAGGGACAUCCUA